rnacentral:rRNA from 1 species
UACGGGGGGGGGCAAGCGUUGUUCGGAAUUACUGGGCGUAAAGGGCGCGUAGGCGGUUUGUUAAGUUGGUUGUGAAAACUCUGGGCUUAACCCAGAGCCUGCAUCCAAAACUAGCAAGCUAGAGUUCUGGAGGGGAUAGCGGAAUUCCUGGUGUAGCGGUGAAAUGCGUAGAUAUCAGGAAGAACACCCGUGGCGAAGGUGGUUCUCUGGGACGGUACUGACGCUGAGACGCGAAAGCGUGGGGAGCGAACAGG